rnacentral:rRNA from 1 species
GAUGAACGCUAGCGGCAGGCUUAACACAUGCAAGUCGAGGGGUAGAGGAAGCUUGCUUCCUUGAGACCGGCGCACGGGUGCGUAACGCGUAUGCAACCUACCUUUUACAGAGGGAUAGCCCAGAGAAAUUUGGAUUAAUACCUCAUAGUAUAUAGUCUUCGCAUGUUGACUAUAUUAAAGUUCCAACGGUAAAAGAUGGGCAUGCGUCCUAUUAGCUAGAUGGUAAGGUAACGGCUUACCAUGGCAACGAUAGGUAGGGGUCCUGAGAGGGAGAUCCCCCACACUGGUACUGAGACACGGUCCAGACUCCUACGGGAGGCAGCAGUGGGGAAUUUUCCGCAAUGGGCGAAAGCCUGACGGAGCAAUACCGCGUGAGGGAAGAAUGCCUAUGGGUUGUAAACCUCUUUUUUCAGGGAGGAAUAAAAUGACGUGUACCUGAAGAAUAAGCAUCGGCUAACUCCGUG